rnacentral:misc_RNA from 1 species
AGGUACGUUCAUACUUUGCUGAAUACACCAUAUCCCGUCCGAUUUGUGAAGUUAAGCAGCUAUAGGCCGCGUUAGUACUAAGGUUAGUGAUAACUUGGGAACCCGCGGUGAUGUACCUCACCCAAACCCUUUUUGGACUUUUUAUUGGAUUUUUUUUGGAUUUUUGAAAUUUGGUGUGUGCGAAAAAAAAUAAAAAAGUGCCCGAAGGCAGUGUUUCCAAAAUUUACCAGAUGAACUGGAAGCUUCUCAUACCAAUAAUGUACAGAAACUGUAACAAUUUUUAGCGUUAGUUAAAAGCAAAAUACCCCCGGUGCAAAAGUGCCAUAUGUGGCGUAACGUGAUAGGCACUUCGUGGGAGGGGGGCGCCCUCCUAAGGAACCCCAUACAGGCGUCAAAUGCAGCGCUGAUCACUCCGCCGACAGCGGGUCUGACACAAUUGUGCGGUGCGCACCCCCCCAAUUUGGCAGUUUUCGGGGUGCGCGGGAGCGAUGUAUGCGAUUUUUGCAAAAGUGCUCUUGGCCCCCCCACCAUGUUUUUCCUCCCCCGGGGCCGGGAAACAGCCGUCGCACCACCCCCCGGGGGCUGUCAUC